rnacentral:lncRNA from 1 species
AAACAGACCUGGAAUUUGUUUUUUUAAAUAUUUAUUUAUUUUUAGUUUUCAGCAGACACAACAUCUUUGUUUGUAUGUGGUGCUGAGGAUCGAACCCGGGCCACACACAUGCCAGGCGAGCGMGCUACCACUUGAGCCACAUCUCCAGCCCCCAGACCUGGAAUUUAAAUGUUCUGUGAUGGUUCUUGGAAGAGAUGUGAAGUAGAGAACAAUGUGAGCAUUUGCUGGAGAGGGACCUCUGUGGUGGCAGGGCUGCCAUUUUUAAACUAGCCACAGAGUUCAAAGCCUGGUCUUGGCAAACACUGGUCAAACCACCUUUAAACUAUGGGUGUUUCUAACUGGAACCUGUGAACUUAAUAUCUUAAUAUAAGAUGGUAUAUUAAGUUCCAUCUUCAGAAGUUAAUCCAAAUUGCCCUUCUGAUUUCAUUUUGUUCUUUGGUGAGUUUGGGUGGAAAGCCAAAUUUUCCAGAGACUGCUGAGAACCCCAAGAUAAGCUGAAUUUAGAGGUUUCAGACUGCAAAAUCAUACAUUAAGUCUCUGUGGCCUUGUGCCCUUGUUAACCUGUGAUUCUUCUUUCUCAUUUCUUCAGUUCCAUCCCCAACUUCUGAAGUUGUUAUCAAGUAGAAAAUGCCUAGUGCCACCCAAGAAAUAUAAUUCCUUUUUUCAUGGAGGCCAAAAUGUGCCUAUUAAUUGUUGAGGAAAUAAAAAUCUUUAC